UCUGAAGUCCCUGAAGGUCCCUGAGUGUGUCUGAAGUAUAGAACUUGACAUCACUCACCAUCUUCCCAGUCCCAGAUCAUCCUGACUUGGCUGUGGCCAGGAUCCAUGUCAAUCUGAGAGUCAACCACAUGCCACUUGCCUGUCAACAUGAUUUCCAAGGGAAAAAUAA